GAGGAGAGAGAAAGGUCUGUUUACAGUAGUAGCCGUGGAGGAGGAGAGAAAGGUCUGUUUACAGCAGUAGCCCUGGAGGAGAGGAGAGAAAGGUCUGUUUACAGCAGUAGCCCUGGAGGAGAGGAGAGAAAGGUCUGUUUACAGCAGUAGCCCUAGAGGAGGAGAGAAAGGUCUGUUUACAGUAGUAGCCGUGGAGGAGAGGAGAGAAAGGUCUGUUUACAGUAGUAGCCGUGGAGGAGGAGAGAAAGGUCUGUUUACAGUAGUAGCCGUGGAGGAGGAGAGAAAGGUCUGUUUACAGCAGUAGCCCUGGAGGAGAGGAGAGAAAUGUCUGUUUACAGCAGUAGUCAUGGA
ensembl:lncRNA